CGUGAUGAAAUUCAAGCGUGAUAGUGCGAUUCCUUCAUAUUUGGCUGGAAAACCACAAGUGGCUAUCGUUAGAGCACACCAAUAUUUAAAUGUGAAUAAAUCUUUUGUGUCUCGUUCCACCCCAAUAAAUGCCGAAUAUUAUUUCGAAAAUAUUCUGGAGGGUAUAUUAAAGCCUUGGGCACGCAAACAUUUUGGACGCAGACCUUGGACAUUCCAACAGGACUCAACACAAUCGCACAGAGCACGCGCCACCCAAGAAUGGUUACAAAAUGA